UAGGGAAUCUUCCACAAUGGGCGCAAGCCUGAUGGAGCGACGCCGCGUGAGUGAGGAAGGUCUUCGGAUCGUAAAGCUCUGUUGUUAGGGAAGAAGAAGCGCCGUUCGAACAGGGCGGCGCGGUGACGGUACCUAACGAGAAAGCCCCGGCUAACUACGUGCCAGCAGCCGCGGUAAUACGUAGGGGGCGAGCGUUGUCCGGAAUUAUUGGGCGUAAAGGGCGCGCAGGCGGCCCCUUAAGUCAGUUGUGAAAGGUCCCGGCUCAACCGGGGAGCUGCAGCUGAAACUGGGGGGCUUGAGUGCAGGAGAGGAGAGCGGAAUUCUCGGUGUAGCGGUGGAAUGCGUAGAGAUCGGGAGGAACACCAGUGGCGAAGGCGGCCAUCUGGACCAGCACUGACGCUGAGGCACGAAAGCGUGGGGGAGCGAACAGGAUUAGAUACC
rnacentral:rRNA from 1 species